rnacentral:rRNA from 1 species
CUUAGAGUUUGAUCCUGGCUCAAGAUGAACUCUGGCGGCGCGCCUAACACAUGCAAGUCGAACGGUUAAGCCACCUUCGGGUGGGAAUAAAGUGGCGAACGGCUGAGUAACACGUGGGCAACCUGCCCCUCGCACCGGGACAGCCUCGGGAAACCGUGGAUGAUACCGGAUACUCCGCCUCCCCCGCAUGGGGAGGGCGGGAAAGCCCAGACGGCGAGGGAUGGGCCCGCGGCCUGUUAGCUAGUUGGCGGGGCAGCGGCCCACCAAGGCGAUGAUGGGUAGCCGGGUUGAGAGACCGACCGGCCAGAUUGGGACUGAGACACGGCCCAGACUCCUACGGGAGGCAGCAGUGGGGAAUCUUGCACAAUGGGCGGAAGCCUGAUGCAGCGACGCCGCGUGCGGGACGAAGGCCUUCGGGCUGUAAACCGCUUUCAGCAGGGACGAGGCGCAAGUGACGGUACCUGCAGAAGAAGCCCCGGCUAACUACGUGCCAGCAGCCGCGGUAAUACGUAGGGGGCAAGCGUUAUCCGGAUUCAUUGGGCGUAAAGCGCGCGUAGGCGGCCAGCCUGGUCGGGAGUCAAAUCCGGGGGCUCAACCCCCGUCCGCUCCCGAUACCGGCCGGCUUGAGUCUGGCAGGGGAAGGCGGAAUUCCCGGUGUAGCGGUGGAAUGCGCAGAUAUCGGGAAGAACACCGGUGGCGAAGGCGGCCUUCUGGGCCACGACUGACGCUGAGGCGCGAAAGCUAGGGGAGCGAACAGGAUUAGAUACCCUGGUAGUCCUAGCCGU